GAAAGAAGUACAAUGAAAACAUGCUUAUAAUUUAUGCUUAUUGUAAAUAUUGUUGUAGGCUAUUAACAUAAAAGAAAAGGAUAUAUUACACUUUCAUAUGGGCAUGGGCGUACCGGAAGGAAAAAUUUAGUGGGGCGGAAAGAAAUUUGCCCGACUUUUCCGGAUUUUGCCCGACAAGUACCGAAAUUUUUUUUUCCGGAAUUUGUUUUGGCGACCUCCCCCCCCCCAAAAAAAUUUUUCCGGACAUACCUAAAUUUUCCAGAACCUAACAAAAAUUUUGGAAACAUCACAAAAUUGACCUCAAAAUUGACACAAUUUGUCCAAUUUUUUUUUAUAAACCAAAAUUGCCCGACUGUUCAGCAAAUAUUGCCCGACUGCCCAACAAACUGG